rnacentral:misc_RNA from 1 species
UCCCUUCUUCAGUAUCCUUAUUUUUUUCUUUCAAAAAAAAAAUGAAUCCUUCUACCAUAGUCAUGACAAAAGAGCUCUCCGCUGGAUCAUCACGAUCCGGCGGUGAACAGUUACAAAAUAAUAAUCCCGCACCGUUGAGUCGGUACGAGUCACAAAAAAGGCGAGACUGGAACACUUUUGGUCAGUACUUGAAAAAUCAAAGACCACCUGUUCCGUUAUCACAGUGUAAUUGCAAUCAUGUUCUAGAAUUCCUUCGAUACCUUGACCAGUUCGGUAAGACUAAGGUUCACUUACACGGAUGCGUGUUUUUCGGACAACCUGAUCCACCAGCACCUUGUACUUGCCCGUUAAGGCAAGCCUGGGGUAGCCUUGAUGCUUUAAUAGGGAGGCUUAGAGCUGCGUACGAAGAGAACGGAGGGUCCCCGGAGAAUAAUCCGUUUGGAAAUGGCGCGAUUCGCCUUUAUUUAAGAGAGGUAAAAGAGUGUCAAGCUAAGGCAAGAGGGAUUCCUUACAAGAAGAAAAAGAAAAGGAAGCUUAAUAAUAAUUCAAUUAAGCCCAUUGGCGCUGGUGUUGGUGCUAGUGCUGAUCAACACAAAAAUUUGAUGCAAGCAAGCUAAAUUAUAAGGAUAAAGGCCUCUCAGAGUGGAAUAUACGUAGUAUGUUGUUGUUAUAUAUAGGGUGGUCACAUGAAUUGGAUGUAUCUGAAGUAGAUAUAUAGAAGAUGAUGAUGCCUGCCACAAGACAAAUAUGUACCUCAAUAUACUAGCUAUCUAGCUAGUUAUGUUUUCUUAUUAAGUUAUUAUUAUUAU